ensembl:lncRNA
CAACAGGUCUUGGAGCUCGAAUUUUAACCUAGGAGGAGAGAUAAAGGUCCUAGUUUUCACCUUCCACGUCCAGCCAGAGGAACGGAUUCACCAACUUUCUGUCGCUUCCGGUGGCGCUGCCAUCUCACGUUGACUGGACCAGGGGGCGGUGGUCGUUUCCCGGACGGGGCGGAGGGACAACAGACACCCGAGGGACCACAGACAUACGGCUUCCUGUAGCCGCAAGGGAAGGCGCGGGGCUCCUGAGCCCGCGACGGGAGCGCGCUGAAGGGACCCGGCCCUGCCCCUGUCCAUGAGGCUGGGCCCAGAAGAGGGAAGCGCCCCAGCACGGGCACCAACUAGCGCCCAACGCCCCCACCAUCCUCAUCCGAGCUUCAGGGUGAGGGAGCCGAGCGUUCCACUGAUUUCCC